rnacentral:rRNA from 1 species
GACGAACGCUGGCGGCAGGCUUAACACGUGCAAGUCGAACGCAUCCUUCGGGGUGAGUGGCAGACGGGUGAGUAACGCGUGGGAACGUGCCCUUCAGUUCGGGAUAACCCAGGGAAACUUGGGCUAAUACCGGAUACGUGCGAGAGCAGAAAGAUUUAUCGCUGGAGGAUCGGCCCGCGUCUGAUUAGCUAGUUGGUGGGGUAAUGGCCCACCAAGGCGACGAUCAGUAGCUGGUCUGAGAGGAUGAUCAGCCACAUUGGGACUGAGACACGGCCCAAACUCCUACGGGAGGCAGCAGUGGGGAAUAUUGGACAAUGGGCGCAAGCCUGAUCCAGCCAUGCCGCGUGAGUGAUGAAGGCCUUAGGGUUGUAAAGCUCUUUCGUCCGGGACAAUAAUGACGGUACCGGAAGAAGAAGCCCCGGCUAACUUCGUGCCAGCCGCCGCCGUAA